rnacentral:pre_miRNA from 1 species
UUAAAACUCAUUCCAGUGUAUGGUGUUGGAAAGUUUGACUACGUUUGCCGCUAGGUGCGCUGUUCCAACUGCAUAUAAAUUUGAGUUA